CCAAAAUCCGCCCGUCAUAUACCGAGGCCAAUGAUCGAGCCAGCUUGCUGGUGAAGUGACUGAACGAGGUUCCAGGAAAAGCCACUAAGCUUCAGCUACACACGACCGUACCGCAAACCGACACUGGUGCGCGAGAUGAGUAUUCUAAGGCGCUUGAGAGAACUCAGGAGAAGGAACUCGGCAAAUUGACACCGUAACUUCGGAAGAAGGUGUGCCCUAUUAGUGUGAAGUGAACAACGGAGCAUGAAUGGGUCGCAAAAAAUCGGUGGCUGCGACUGUUUAUUAAAAACACAGCACUCUGCAAACACGAAAGUGGACUUAUAGGGUGUGACGCCUGCCCGGUGCUGGAAGAUUAAAUGAUGGGGUGCAAGCUCUUGAUUGAAGUCCCAGUAAACGGCGGCCGUAACAAUAACGGUCCUAAGGUAGCGAAAUUCCUUGUCGGGUAAGUUCCGACCUGCACGAAUGGCGUAACGAUGGCCACACUGUCUCCUCCUGAGACUCAGCGAAGUUGAAAUGUUUGUGAUGAUGCAAUCUCCCCGCGGAAAGACGGAAAGACCCCAUGAACCUUUACUGUAGCUUUGUAUUGGACUUUGAACAGAUCUGUGUAGGAUAGGUGGGAGGCUUUGAAGCAGGGUCGCUAGAUCUUGUGGAGCCAACGUUGAAAUACCACCCUGGUGUGUUUGAGGUUCUAACCUAGGUCCAUUAUCUGGAUCGGGGACAGUGCAUGGUAGGCAGUUUGACUGGGGCGGUCUCCUCCCAAAGCGUAACGGAGGAGUUCGAAGGUACGCUAGUUACGGUCGGACAUCGUGACGAUAGUGCAAUGGCAUAAGCGUGCUUAACUGCGAGACUGACAAGUCGAGCAGAUGCGAAAGCAGGACAUAGUGAUCCGGUGGUUCUGUAUGGAAGGGCCAUCGCUCAACGGAUAAAAGGUACACUGGGGAUAACAGGCUGAUACCGCCCAAGAGUUCAUAUCGACGGCGGUGUUUGCACCUCGAUGUCGGCUCAUCUCAUCCUGGGGCUGUAGCCGGUCCCAAGGGUAUGGCUGUUCGCCAUUUAAAGAGGUACGUGAGCUGGGUUUAAAACGUCGUGAGACAGUUUGGUCCCUAUCUUCCGUGGGCGCUGCAGAUUUGAGGAAGCCUGCUCCUAGUACGAGAGGACCGGAGUGGACACACCUCUGGUGUAUCGGUUGUCACGCCAGUGGCAUUGCCGAGUAGCUAAGUGUGGAAGAGAUAACCGCUGAAAGCAUCUAAGCGGGAAACUCGUUUCAAGAUGAGAUCUGCCGGGGCCUCGAGCCCCCUGAAGAGUCGUUCAAGACCAGGACGUUGAUAGGUCGGGUGUGGAAGCGCAGUAAUGCGUUAAGCUAACCGAUACUAAUUGCUCGUGCGGCUUGACCCC
rnacentral:rRNA from 1 species